UACGGGGGGGGCAAGCGUUGUUCGGAAUUACUGGGCGUAAAGCGCGCGUAGGUGGCUUUUCAAGUCAGACGUGAAAUCCUUAGGCUUAACCUGAGAACUGCGUUUGAUACUGUUGAGCUAGAGUGUGGAAGGGGCUACUAGAAUUCCGUGUGUAGCGGUGAAAUGCGUAGAUAUUCGCAAGAACACCAGUGGCGAAGGCGGCUCACUGGCCCGAUACUGACGCUGAGGCACGAAAGCGUGGGGAGCAAACAGG
rnacentral:rRNA from 1 species